rnacentral:rRNA from 1 species
GUGGGGAAUCUUCCACAAUGGACGAAAGUCUGAUGGAGCAACGCCGCGUGAGUGAAGAAGGGUUUCGGCUCGUAAAGCUCUGUUGUCGGGGACGAAUGUGCAGUAUUUGAAUAAAGUACUGCAAUGACGGUACCUGACGAGGAAGCCACGGCUAACUACGUGCCAGCAGCCGCGGUAAUACGUAGGUGGCAAGCGUUGUCCGGAAUUAUUGGGCGUAAAGGGAGCGCAGGCGGGAAGGUAAGUCGGUCUGACAAGUGCGGGGGUCAACCCCGUGAUGGGAUCGAAACUAUCUUUCUUGAGUGCAGGAGAGGAAAGUGGAAUUCCUAGUGUAGCGGUGAAAUGCGUAGAUAUUAGGAGGAACACCAGUGGCGAAGGCGACUUUCUGGACUGUAACUGACGCUGAGGCUCGAAAGCCAGGGGAGCGAACGGGAUUAGAAACCCGGGUAGUCC